rnacentral:rRNA from 1 species
AGAGUUUGAUCCUGGCUCAGGACGAACGCUGGCGGCGUGCCUAAUACAUGCAAGUCGAGCGGAUUUAUCCUUCGGGAUAAGUUAGCGGCGGACGGGUGAGUAACACGUAGGUAACCUGCCUAUAAGACUGGGAUAACUAUCGGAAACGAUAGCUAAGACCGGAUAACUGGUUUUCUCGCAUGAGAGAAUUAUGAAACACGGAGCAAUCUGUGGCUUAUAGAUGGGCCUGCGGCGCAUUAGCUAGUUGGUGAGGUAACGGCUUACCAAGGCGACGAUGCGUAGCCGACCUGAGAGGGUGAACGGCCACACUGGGACUGAGACACGGCCCAGACUCCUACGGGAGGCAGCAGUAGGGAAUCUUCCGCAAUGGACGCAAGUCUGACGGAGCAACGCCGCGUGAGUGAUGAAGGUUUUCGGAUCGUAAAGCUCUGUUGCCCUAGACGAACAGCAAGGAGAGUAACUGCUCUUUGUGUGACGGUAUAGGAGAAGAAAGCCCCGGCUAACUACGUGCCAGCAGCCGCGGUAAUACGUAGGGGGCAAGCGUUGUCCGGAAUUAUUGGGCGUAAAGCGCGCGCAGGCGGUCAAUUAAGUUGGGUGUUUAAGCCCGGGGCUCAACCCCGGUUCGCAUCCAAAACUGGUUGACUUGAGUGUAGGAGAGGAAAGUGGAAUUCCACGUGUAGCGGUGAAAUGCGUAGAGAUGUGGAGGA